GCAGACAGAAAACCGUGGAAUUUGUUUAUUUUAUUUCCGAUAAAUUUAUAGCUUUUAAUUCAACACACUCGUAAAAAUUACAAGCUAGUAGCAAGUGUGACAGAUGCAAUCGUAUGUGCCUUGAUCAUUUUUAACGCAUUCACCGCAAUAGCCUAGCGGAUAAUCGUCGUGACGGCAGUCGUAGUCGCACAUAUUAUCGUCCGAUCCGUUGCAUAAUCCUAACUUAUUUGUGCAGGGUACGCCGGGGCUCCCGCCUCCUUUUAUUCCUGCCUUUCUACCUUUGUCACAUCUACCUCCAUGCACCACCUUGUUGCUAUCUGCAUGCACAACGGAAAAAUUUAGUAACAAUUAUUUGUCGGGAACCUGGGCUCGAAAGAAUAUGGUUACUUACUGGUGGCAAAUACAAGGAGGAUUAACACGAUGCAGAAGCUUUUUGAGAACCUGGCCAUCUUUGAUGUAUAUUGUAACUUGAAGAAUGCAAGUUGGUUUGUUUAUAUAGCUGGGGCUGGUCUAAUUUGUUUUCUGUUUUUGGAAUUCUUGGAGUGAAGCUUGUAGUUCGGG
rnacentral:lncRNA from 1 species